rnacentral:rRNA from 1 species
AUUGAACGCUGGCGGCAUGCCUUACACAUGCAAGUCGAACGGUAACAGGUCUUUCGGGACGCUGACGAGUGGCGAACGGGUGAGUAAUACAUCGGAACGUGCCUAGUAGUGGGGGAUAACUACUCGAAAGAGUGGCUAAUACCGCAUGAGAUCUAUGGAUGAAAGCAGGGGACCUUUGGGCCUUGUGCUACUAGAGCGGCCGAUGGCAGAUUAGGUAGUUGGUGGGAUAAAAGCUUACCAAGCCUACGAUCUGUAGCUGGUCUGAGAGGACGAUCAGCCACACUGGGACUGAGACACGGCCCAGACUCCUACGGGAGGCAGCAGUGGGGAAUUUUGGACAAUGGGCGCAAGCCUGAUCCAGCAAUGCCGCGUGCAGGAUGAAGGCCUUCGGGUUGUAAACUGCUUUUGUACGGAACGAAAAGUCUUGGGUUAAUACCCUGGGAUCAUGACGGUACCGUAAGAAUAAGCACCGGCUAACUACGUG